CGGGGUCCCCGCCCCGAUCGCCUCCUUUCUGUGCCGGGGAGCCAUGGUGUAUGCUGGCAGCGGGAGAGCAUGAAGCCUGCAGGAUGGGCGCGAACAAUGGCAAACAGUACGGCAGUGAGGUGGAUGUGGAGGAGGGUGAACUAGUCAUCUGGAUAUACAUCUUCAGAACAGAUCAAGCCUGGGAUGCUGGCAAAGGUGCCUUAAUCCUGUUCUGGAGGGACCAUGCCUCUGGAUGAA
rnacentral:lncRNA from 1 species